rnacentral:rRNA from 1 species
GAUGAACGCUGGCGGCGUGCCUAAUACAUGCAAGUCGAGCGAACAGACGAGGAGCUUGCUCCUCUGACGUUAGCGGCGGACGGGUGAGUAACACGUGGAUAACCUACUUAUAAGACUGGGAUAACUUCGGGAAACCGGAGCUAAUACCGGAUAAUAUAUUGAACCGCAUGGGUCAUUAGUGAAAGACGGUUUUGCUGUCACUUAUAGAUGGAUCCGCGCCGCAUUAGCUAGUUGGUAAGGUAACGGCUUACCAAGGCAACGAUGCGUAGCCGACCUGAGAGGGGGGUCGGCCACACGAGAGGUGGGACGCGGUCCAUAGUACUGAGAGACGCAGCAGUAGGGAAUGGGAGGCAGUAGUGGAAAACAUGACAGAAUGGGCGCGAGUGAGAGAUGACAGUCUUCGGAGCGUGAAACUGGGUUAUGGGUGAAAAACAGAUGUGGAAGUAAAUAUAGAGGGCUUGACGGUAACGAGUAAGAAAGCACCGGCUAACUACGUG